rnacentral:lncRNA from 1 species
GUCGAGGUGGAAAAUACGCAGUGGGAUCAGCUUGCAUUGGAGGUGGCCAAGGCAUCUCCCUGAUCAUCCAGAACACAGCCUGAAGGGAUUGCAAGCAUCCUACCCACCCUCACUUGGCCAGGCUACGGAACACAGGCGACCUUUGAGUCAGCCCUGCUGUGACAGUAAAUGCAUUUGACCAAGCCUUGAUGGGUUCUGUCUACUUCAUACCUGCCUAGCGUGUUAGAAUAAAAAGACCAGCCAUCAGAGGCCUUUAGAGAUACCUACUGGUGUCAUUGUCAGCAGCCACCACUGUAUGCCUUACAUGGUGAAAUUACAAACUGAAUAAAUGUUGCCUUAACUCCAGCU